rnacentral:piRNA from 2 species
UUGCCAGGAAGAGGCUUGUGCCGUUA